rnacentral:lncRNA from 1 species
CCUGGCCUCCUAGAUUAGUGGUCACCAACCGUAUCCCUGGAUGCGCCAUGUGACCCCUUAGUCCCUAUCUUAGUCACCUGCUGGACUUGUUCAAAAAAUAUUGUAUACCAUUGAAUUAGUAAUUCGUUUAUACAUAUUUUUUGGUAAUAGUCCUCAAGCCUUUGAAAAUCUUAAAAUAGCCUUCAGCUUUAAAAGGUUGGUGGCCCUGUUGUAGACGGUUCUACGUAAUUUUUUCCCUACCCUUUUUGCCUCCUACAUUUUUUCAACUUGUAAUUUUUCCUCGAGAAGAUUUUGUCGCAUAACAUCUUCGCUGCCCUUUUAUAUUUUUCUAUUAUCGGUUCGAACUUUACUGUUGUAUCUUGAUCAGAUUAAUUAUAUAGCAAGAAGAAGAAGAAAAAAGGAAAUACAGAAGUAAUCUUGUGCUGUUUAUAUAUUGAAUAUUAUUGUAAUAACAAGGAGUAGAGAAUUACAGAUCUGGGAUGAUGAGUGUAUUUCGAAAGGACUCAUUUACUUGUGAAACGUUAAUUAAUCAUAGUCGUUGCCUUACUUCAGUCUUGAAAAAUUGGAAAAAACUCCAUCGAUAGAAAGAAAGGAAUAAUCAUUGAUGAAUCAUAGAUUUUGUGGUGGGUUGUCUCUUAUUUCUCUACCGUAUCUCCUUUUACUACCAACGAAAUUAAAUAACAUGCGAAGGUGCUUCUCUUUUCGUGGAUGACUCCCACUUGGCCUUAGUCUUAUCCCAUUCUACUCCGGUUCGAUUUCCCUCUCAAGCUGGAAAUCACCAAAGAAUCUUAUCCGGACAAACUAUUUAAGACAAUGUUUAUCCCAGAUGGUCGGUAAAAAUGAUCAAGAUGGACUAUCUCUUAAUCAGUGAUCUCUUUUUUAUAUUUCCUGAAUUUACUCCAUCACUCUCCAAAUGUGUUUUUUUUCACAAAUUGGACCUCUGUAUCUCUCGAUCAUAUUCAAUCAAAAGAGUUAUCUUGUCAAGUUUGUAUGGAUCAUUGUUUCGGAGAAAAGACUUCAGUCCUGGAGGAUGUUUUUUCAAUCUAACAUUGUGGAGUACGACUUUUAAUCCCUUAAUACUUACUUUAUUACUUUUUAUUAGACGUGAUUUUGCAAUUGUUAUUAUUUGUUAUUUAUGUACCACUUAUUUAUACAUAGUUUAUAGAUCAGCUCUGGAGGAGCCAAUAGUGUGUAUUAUUAUUAUUAUUUUUUUAAAUUCUCGAGUCAUUAGUUAUAACUCAUAUAAAGAAAUAUCUUAAUAAGAUGAUUUUGUAGCCUUUAUUUUCUAAAAUAACUUUUAAUAUAUAUUGUUUGGAUUAUUAAAAUAAGAAGACACAUAACGUACAUAGACACAACUGAUUCUAAAAU